rnacentral:lncRNA from 1 species
AAAACACGUUUUUGAACCGCGCCUCAUGAAAUGCACCCGCAGUCCGAGACACGUUCUAUUUAACGUUGUUAAGAUUUGGAGUUCGCUCACAUGAAAUUCACAUCUGAGUUUAGGAAGGUAAUUUUAAUUACGCGCCUAAAGCAACUACAUAUUUUUAAAUUUGCGAGGACCAUGAAAAAUUCGUUAAAUGGUAUGCCUCAAAUUCUAAGAAUUAAAAUAUUAAUUAAGCAAGGUCGAUGCAUUUUAAGAUUUUAUCUAGCAUGGUGCACCUCAACUCCAAUUUUAAAGGUAACUCAUACUAAGUUGUUGAGGGCCAUAUCUAUAUCUUAUUUUAACGUGGCUCACCUCAACUAUUUAAAGCACUUAUCAUCUAAAACACUAAGAAAGUUAGGAUUCUACAUAUUUUAUGAAGUUGUUAAACUAAAUUUUGGUAACCAAUAUUAGCAUUGAACAUCCCACAUCUGAUUGUAAAAAAAAUAAUUUGGACUAGCAUAACAAACAAUGGGAAGGCAGGUCAACACAACCCAAAGAAAAUCCAAGUUUCAGUUGUAAACGUUCUCAAAUUUAAGCCCAGGGAAGCGAUAUACACAAGAAUAAAAACUCAGCCCAAAAUUUGGCUAGGUUGCCCCGCCUGGGCCCGUGACAGGCCCAACAGAGGUCCUCCUUGAUACUCUUUAUUUUAACAUAUACGCACAGCCUGGACGGAAAAAUAUUUGCCAAAAUUAACUCACCACGCAUGCAUCUAAACAUUCAAUUGUUAUUAAGCCAUUACAUGAAUUCCUACUUAGCAAGUUAACGUGAAGCAAGAUGAUAGGCCCAAUUCCAAUAGUAUGCUAUUGUCUUUUGAAAUAACUUACUAAUUAUCUCACAUUCUUAUACAAUUUCCCUCAUCAAAUCCAGGAUAUACCAUAGUAACAAUCAGAUUUACAGUCUUCCUUUGAAUUGCAACCUUAAAAAGAUGGUGUGACUUAUUCAAACUAGCAUAAGACUAUACCAACACAUGCUUUCUGGGUAAAUUCAGAUCCAAAAGGCGUUUAACGAUUAAAAGUCCCAUCCCAAAUAGCAACUCAAUAUAUAACAACUAAGAGACUAGAUUAUAGCCUGCUAAUAGACGAAUAAAUUGUCCAUACUUAGACAUUAGCCUUAGCAGUCAUGCAACCAAAGUUGAAUUUCAUAAAGACAAACUUGCAGAACUUGAUCAUUCACAAAGGAUAACUGCUACAUAUAUCUAAAACUAAAUUCUAACUUGUUAAAUGGGGUGAAAAUAGAACAAAACAAAACUACUAUUCAAAAUAUGGAAUUCAACCUAGGUAUUCACAUAUAAUUUGCUAGUGAGGCAACAGAUGAUCCAAAUCCUCAAGUACACGAUUCAAUGCCCAAGGGCAUAUUCAAUAUACAUACCUGGAAAGCAAAAAAAGUAAGAACAAUGAAGGGUCAAUAGCAGCAAGGCAGUACUAGCAGCAAUGUGUUAUACCAGCUGAAACCAAACCAGACUUCAGACCAACUCCACACAACUCGAAUAAGGCUCCUAAAGUUAGAUUCAAUUUAUUUUUUCACCCAAAUGCACCAUAAAUUGCUUCAGAAAUUGAGAACCUCAAGAAUCACAAAAGAACUUCAAUGGAACAAUGAUUUUUAUCAAAUUUCCAUGCGUUUUUAGUUUUUCCUGAAUUUUUAUCCCUAUUUAUCUAACUUGAAUGCCAAGUAAAAGUAUAUUUAUAGACAAGGCAUUAGGGAUGCAGAAAUGCAACUGUUUUGCACCCUAAUCCUUUUGAUAUUUUUAUUUUAGCCUAGAUACCCUUAGUGUAAAUUUUAAAUUUCGGAAUAGUCCCAAACCCCCUUCCUGGAAGCUUCCUAAGGCUGUUACACCCAGAUUCCCUAAGAUAGAUAUCCAAAAUACCCCUUGAACCUCUGUUAAUUAAUCAUAAAAAACAAAUGGGUAUGGGUCAAAUUGAUCUAAUGUUUCAAUUCAAGAACCUGGGCUAAUCCCUUCCCACUUGGGCUUUCUGAUUUCAAAAUUCAAAUUUAAUUUUGGUCAAAUGGCCAUAUUUUAAUAAACUGACCAACAUUUUUCAAAAGACCAAAAACUGUUAAAAUGAAACUCAAACAAAGGAAAAAAAAUAAAAGGACUAAUUAAUCAAACACAUAAACUAAGCUGUCACUAAACUAAUCAGGCAAACAGAAAUGAAUGAAAAAUAAAAAAUGAAGGGAGGAUACAGAACAGAACAUGCAAUUGAGCUAAGUCAAAGAAAAAGAAGAAAAAUACAAUAAAAGAAAAGAAAAAGUCCUGAACAGUACCUAAACUGGACAAAUGCAAAACUUGAGCACUUCGAUGGAAUCUUCGAUUUCUGACCGGAAUAGACUCUAAUCGUGUUUUCUCAUAUGAAAACACACGAAUAAAGUCUAUUUCAAUCCUAAAUCUUCAAACAGGCCCGUUGAUUUGAUUAUUUGUGAUUUAGGGUUCAUCAUUUGAUCUAAUAUUCGAGGAGUUCGGGCAAGAUUCGAGGCAAACAGAGUGGAGAUUUGGAAUUAGGGGAUCUUGGGAGUUACUGGGUGUUAUUUUGGGGUGAUUGGAGGUGACGCCGCCAGUGGAGAUACUGAGGAAUUUAGGGCAGCGCGUUAGGGUUCUUUAUCUCUGAGAUCAGAGACAAUGGGUGAGGGUUGUGAGAAAUGGUGUAGGGGGUAGGUUAGGUUCCGAUAUAUAAAUAUUAAACAUACC